UACGGGGGGAGCAAGCGUUGUUCGGAUUUACUGGGCGUAAAGGGCGCGUAGGCGGCCAGCACAAGUCAGUUGUGAAAUCUCCGAGCUUAACUCGGAAAGGUCAACUGAUACUGUGCGGCUAGAGUGCGGAAGGGGCAACUGGGAUUCUUGGUGUAGCGGUGAAAUGCGUAGAUAUCAAGAGGAACACCUGCGGCGAAGGCGGGUUGCUGGGCCGACACUGACGCUGAGGCGCGAAAGCUAGGGGAGCGAACGGG
rnacentral:rRNA from 1 species